rnacentral:lncRNA from 1 species
CGGGUAUGUUUUGUUCAUCGGUUCUCGAAGGACAUCUUCUAUGAACGCCCUUGCCGCCUUGAAAGUGCGCAGCGUUUGUGUUUGCGCUGUACAGACACCCCGCGGAUUGUGCGUGGCACGGAAGCGCCUCUGGCGGGAGACGGGGAAGCGAAACACAAGAAAGCCGGUUUGCCGUGCAGUGGAAUGGUGUCGGGGGAGCGGGUAAAUGAAGUAGAAUGCAACUCACGAGCGAGCAACGUGACGUCCUAGGGCGUCUCUCCUCAUCCAGGAAGAGACAAACUGCCCGCCGCACACGGCAACGCAGGCCGUGGCCAACUUCUGGGGGGGGACCCGCGAGGAGGCGACCUCAAGUGGUGCUGGGAAUCAACUGCACGUCAAAAAUAAAUAAAAUAUCCGUGAAAAGACGGCGAAAGAGCCUGUCAGACUGAGAGCGAAGACACUAGAUAGUCAAUGCCGCGGAGACGCCCAUUUUCACCACAGCUUCGGAUCUCCGCUGUGUAGACUAGGCAGCUCCAGCGGCAAAAACAGCAGCGUGCCUUGGCGAACCAGGACCCCGUUGAGGAUUUCAGCCCUAAACUGUGGAGGGGCUCGCAUAAUAUUUGUCUGUUUUUGAAGGAGGGGUUUCACAGACGAUCGACAGGGGAGAUAGGCGAGCUUUUCGUGAUGACAAUAGGGCCUUGGCCUUCAAAUGCGCGUUUUGGCAGAGGUGCCGGGCGCUUCGUGUUGUGGCUUCACAUCCGCCCACUAGAGAGGAAUGAACGCCUCCCAUAGUGAUGGAGUCGAUGAACCACGCUUUCCUUGUUUGGCGUACGCCUGUUGGCCCCAAUCGAUCGAGUGUAAAAGUUGCGGCCGCAGCCAAAUUCGCAAUCAGGCUCGCCGCGUAGACAACUGCCAGCUUGUUUUUGGCAAACGCACGCGUUCCACGUAGACCUGUCCUCCCCCUUACUUCACCGUAUAGCUCAACCAAACGUGUGCC